rnacentral:rRNA from 1 species
GACGAACGCUGGCGGCGUGCUUAACACAUGCAAGUCGAACGGUGAAGCUCCAGCUUGCUGGAGUGGAUCAGUGGCGAACGGGUGAGUAACACGUGAGCAACCUGCCCCUGACUCUGGAAUAAGCGCUGGAAACGGCGUCUAAUACUGGAUACGAGAAGGGUCCGCAUGGGCACUUUCUGGAAAGUUUUUCGGUUGGGGAUGGGCUCGCGGCCUAUCAGCUUGUUGGUGAGGUAAUGGCUCACCAAGGCGACGACGGGUAGCCGGCCUGAGAGGGCGACCGGCCACACUGGGACUGAGACACGGCCCAGACUCCUACGGGAGGCGGCAGUGGGGAAUAUUGCACAAUGGGCGAAAGCCUGAUGCAGCGACGCCGCGUGAGGGAUGACGGCCUUCGGGUUGUAAACCUCUUUCAGCAGGGAAGAAGCGAAAGUGACGGUACCUGCAGAAGAAGCACCGGCUAACUACGUG